UACAGAGGUCCCAAGCGUUGUUCGGAUUCACUGGGCGUAAAGGGUGCGUAGGUGGCCGGGAAAGUUCGAUGUGAAAGCUCGGAGCUCAACUCCGAAAUGGCAUUGAAUACUAUUCGGCUCGAGGGUCGGAGGGGAGACUGGAAUUCUCGGUGUAGCAGUGAAAUGCGUAGAUAUCGAGAGGAACACCAGUGGCGAAGGCGAGUCUCUGGACGACUCCUGACACUGAGGCACGAAAGCUAGGGGAGCAAACAGGAUGAGAAACCCCAGUAGCCC
rnacentral:rRNA from 1 species